CGAAAAUAAACCUACGCCCCGACCGCAGCCCGCGGGUCGCCCGCUCCCUCGCGCCCCUGUUGCUCCCUCCUCGAUCCCGAUCUGGAUCGAGGGGACGAGGAGCUCCUGCCUCCCCGACGGCCGGCCUCCUCCUCGCCCUGCCGCUCCGUCUAGCGCCGCCACAGCCUCUAGAGCCAGGGAAGCCAUGGCCUAAGAUCGGCCUCGAGGUCCCCGCCGCCGUCUCCUGCAGCUUAUGCCCCGCCGCCUCACCGCCCGAGCUCGCCGUCACACCAACCUCGGCGUCGCGCCGCCGCUGGCUCUGGUCGCCUCCACCUCCGCUCCAGGCAACCCUCGGUCGCCGGCUCGCUGGAGCAUGAUGGCAGACGAUGGAUGGCCUGGUUGUGUGCGAAGGAUGCAGUUCUCACGCGCAAGCUAGGGUUGGAGCCGCCAGCUCUUCAUCCUGCCCGCCGGCGGCGAGUCUUCCUGUCCCGCACUUCCGCCUCCCCAUUAUCACAGGUUCAUCUGGUCCUUUACUCCUCACAUAAUAACUGUGAAACUUAAUGAGGAAGGUUAUCCUUUCUUCAAGGACUGGAAGUUUCCUGGUAAGUGUUCCUUUUUCUGAAAAACUCUAUGUUUGUUCGCUGUAAUAUUUUGUUUACAUAAGGUUUCUCUUUCCUUUUGUGGGCAUAAUGGGCGACACAAUAAUAUUCAGAAAAUUGUUGUUUUAGGGAAACUGCUAACUCCAUAUGUCAGACCCAUAUCAUUGUUGAGCAUGCAUAGUGUUCCUAUGUCAUUUCUAUAAUGUAUUUGUUUCCUUUUAUAUAACAUUAGUCUUCAUUUUGGCCAUGUACCUUCAAACUGAACCAAAAAUGGUUUGUCUGAUGACAUGUUUGAGGAGAUUCUUGAUAUGAAACAGUAGAUAUGAGGGUGACCGGUUUUUUUUUUUGCAAGUUUUGUCUGUGGAAUCUUUUUGCAGUUGAUAAGACAUGGGCUGGACUUACUUCCGAUGUGCAAUAUUUUCGGUAAAGUGAUUCAAGAAUGUGGAGACGUCAGGGACAAGGCUCACAACCCCUGCCUCCUCGUUACCAUCUGCGAGUUUUCCGGUGUUGAGCCUCUCAUUUAUUAUGUACUUAUUAUCAACACCUUUAAGUCGAUAAUAUGAAAUUGUUGCAUGUUCAUUGCUGAGGUGUCAAUACUCCUACAUUAUCCACCUCUCAGUAUAUAUAGUGUACUGAUGGCCUGCAUUUUGGUUCAGCCUUACACAAGUACAUGCCCUUCGGCAGCCUGGAGAGUCAUCUCUUUGUGAAACUGGGAAUUGGACGUGCGCUCUUCUACUCGGCUACUCGGACGUGCCCUCAGGGUACUCAGCUCAUGAGCCUCCCACUAUUCCUUGUGAAGCAGCAAAUGCAACAUACCUAAAGGGAAGCAUUUGCGCACUCACGUUUGGCAUGUUCCAUGCAGUAGACCUGUCGUCAUUGGUUGAGCAUUGCAGGAAGCAUUGGAAAGGCAAUAGUAAGAUGUUAAGGUUGUGGUGUGGUUUGGAUGACGGUGACGAGGCUGACAUGAAGGAUGAUGAAGUUCAAGUAAUUUUGAGUGUGAUGGUGCGAUGGUGUGGCUGAUCAUUAAUUCAUCACAUCCAGAUCUUACCCCAAUGUUAUCAAUGAUCUUCUUUAUUUUGUGCUUAUUGAUACAUAAUUUCUUCUCACUGGCUUAUUUCUAUGUUUCCUUAUUGACACAUAAUUUGUUGUGACUUGCCCUCUCCACCCCUCCUCCGGAUGGCUUGAGCUAGCAGCGAUGUCAGGCACCUUGUUGAUGGGGUUGAUUUGAGGUGUGUGGAGAGAGAAUUGAGGAAGGGGUCACGUUGAGGACACAUUUGGCGCUGAUCCGGCUCCGGUGGAAAACAAGCCACGCUCACCCCACCCCAUGGACGACCCUGACCAAGGUGCAGGUCGGUGGUCACCUUUGGGUGCAUCCGCACGGCCCAGUGGCCCGCACCAAGCAGAAGUUGUGAAGCAUGGCUAAGCCACAAGACCAGAUGUUCCCCUCAACUUAAUGAUGUGAACUACGCUUCUGCUCUUGGUAUGUGUGUUGCUUCCCCUGGAUGAUGCUAUGUUGCCAUUGUUGCCUUAUCCCUCCCAACUGUCUUGUUCUUCCCUUCUCUUGUUACUCGACGAAGUUGGUCAUGCCAUAUACUUUGCAUGCUAUGGAGUCUCUAUUUCUACUUAUGAUAAUUCAGUUUUGGUCUAUACAUGUGUUUGUACCAAGAUCUAAGAUCUGGUUGAUGAUAUAUUUUGAAAUAAUUAUUAUUAUGUAUACUUUUUGGUAUAUAUGUAUGUCAGCAUACAUUAUUAAGUAUCUGCCAAA